UCAUAUUCUCAAUUGGUUAAUACAAAAAAAACAGACCAACUUUACCAAAACUCCCUUUUUGUUUUAGCCUUUUGAACAAGGUCUUUGCUAAAAACAUCAAGCAAUACUCAAACUUCUACAUUUUGUCAGUUGAUCUGAGGCACUAUGAGGGAAAAUGGAGAAGAAACCAUUUUCGGCUGCUUAUUUUUUUUUAGGUUUUUAGCUCCAAAAAAAGUUCAGGAAAAUGACCAUAUAUAUGAGAAAACAAAAGGAGUUUCACUGGAAAGUGAAUCAAAAUUUUUGAAUUUGAACAAGAAAACUAGAUGAUUCCGCUAGACUUAGAAAAGGUCGUGGAAAGACUAAAGGGAAAGGUCUUGAAAAAAUGAAGAAGGCCAUGGGAAGCAAAAUGAAAAUAGAGAUCCUGAUUGGUAAAGGAAGGCCAAUAAAGCCAAUUCAAUCAGCCAAACUACCCAAUGAAUUAGGAAUAAUUGCUCGCAAUUUUCUUCUACUUCUAAAUAAGUGGAAGGAACUUACAAGAGAGGACAAAGAUGCAGCACUAAUUAGAUGCCAAGUAAGUAUUCUAUACUCUUUUAAGAUUUGUUACAUGACAAACAGUGAUAUCAUUAAAGUAAUAUUCUUUUGGAGCAACUGUGAUAAAGUAAUAUUAAACAUAAGAUUAGUAUGCUCAGAUAGAAGAGAAGGAAAUGAAUAUAAAAGUAUAUGACUUUGGUUCUGUCUCUGAUCAUAUGCAUAAGGGAAUUAAAGUCCCUGGAAAGUUUCAUAGUGGCUGGAAAGCUCCAGAAAGUGGCACAUUUGCUCAUGCUUCAUCAUAUUUGAUGUUUUCAUGUGUGCUAUAGGUCAAAGAUCUUUCUUAUAUUUGUCUGUGUGAUGCAUCAUAGGCAAUGCCUCGUCUACCAUGUAGUUUGAGGUCUAGGUUUGUGUGGCUCCGAAAGUGAAGAGUCUGAACUACUUAGCUUAUUAUUGUGCAGUUUAGGUCUUGUUUUUAAAAUCAUUGUCCAAAACAUAAGCCAAAAAAUAUACUUCUUACUUGGAUUCAUGGAGUAGCAAUUGUCUAAUGUCUUUAAGAUCUGAUUUCUUACCUCCUUGAUUCCUGUGGUCAUAAAAUACUACUUUUUUUCUUUUAUGCUGCUUGGAAUCUCCAAAUGUUGUUGUAACCACCAUGUCAGAUCCUCUAUUCAUUACUUUUGGAGGAUCAAACACAGAUGUGGAUAGUCCUAUAAACAUAGUUCUUUUUUUUUUAUUUCUAUUAUAUUGAAGCCUCCAUCAUUUCACCCCUAGCAUCUCUCUUACAGGUUACCAAUUGAUGUUAGCUGUAGUUUGUUAUAUUUGAAUAAGUACGAAGUUCUGAAAAUGUUUUCUUUCUGUAUUUACUACUGACGAAUCUUGUGAUGCCUUGUUCCUGUAAAUAUUAUGUAAUGUGCAUUAAUCCUCAUUUGACUAUGACAAUAUCAAAAAGUUGAACACUCUUUGUCGAAAAAUAUAGCAUAUAUAAGUCACAAAUUACUUUAAGUACGUACAUAAUAAUUCUUGAACCCCCUUAGCAAAAUUUCUAACUUGCUCAUUGCCAGUAACCCCAUAUUCUUAUACUUCUGGCUGAAAUAGAGAAGCUUCUAAUGAAAAGAAGCCUGUAUUAACAAUUUUGACUUGAGUAAAUCUCAUCGUAUUUUUUGUUAGUAAUAUCACUAUUUUUUAUAGUAUGUAUGUUUUAUUUUGAGCCGGGGGUGUAUUGGAAACAACCUCUCUAUCUCACAUUUGAGGUGGUGUUAUGGACUGCAUACACUUACCCUCCCCAGACCCCAUUGGUGGGAAUAUACUGGGUAUGUUGUUGUUGUUGUUGUAGUAUGCACAGAUGGCUGAUGUAGCUAGUCAUAUGACCAUCACAUCAAAGAUUGAAGGCCUAACAUCAUGAGAGGUUUUACAUUAAUUUGGACGAGCAUUAUGUGAAAGAUAGCUGUGAGGAUAUUCUGAAAAAUAAAACCCGGCAAUGGCAGUACAAGUUAAAACAAAAAUUUGAAAGUGCACGAUCCGUGGAAGAAGCUUGUAAAAUGGAAGUUGAAUAGUUGACCUCAAAAAAUUGGAAUAAGCUUUGUGACAUGUGGAACGAUCCAGAGCACAAGAAACGAUGUGAAAUAAACAAGGUCAAUCGAGCUAAGCUUAAAUCUAAUCAUUUCAUGGGAUCAUAAGCAUUUGUAACAGCUCGUGUAGAAUUACAGGGUGAAAAGGAACAUGAAGAUGUAGAGCCUGACAGAAUUGAGUUCUACAAGCAUCUCAUUACACAAGUGAAAUAGGCUGGC